CGUGGGGGUGCGGUCCAGAGGAGGCGACGCGCGCAGAUGACGUGCGGCUCGCGGGGCUGUUCGGCAGCAUGGCGUCCGUGGCGCUGAGCGAGGCGGAGAAGGUGUACAUCGUGCACGGCGUCCAGGAAGACCUCCGCGUGGAUGGCCGUGGCUGUGAGGACUACCGAUGUGUUGAAGUGGAAACUGAUGUGGUGUCCAACACCAGUGGGUCUGCCAGGGUCAAGCUGGGUCACACAGACAUCUUGGUGGGCGUGAAAGCAGAAAUGGGGACGCCGAAGCUGGAGAAACCAAAUGAAGGCUACUUGGAGUUCUUUGUUGACUGUUCAGCCAAUGCUACCCCUGAAUUUGAAGGUAGAGGAGGUGAUGACCUUGGCACCGAGAUCGCUAACACCCUCUAUCGGAUAUUUAACAAUAAAAGCAGUGUCGACUUGAAGACCCUCUGCAUUAGUCCUCGGGAGCACUGCUGGGUUCUCUAUGUGGAUGUGCUACUGCUGGAAUGUGGUGGAAAUUUGUUUGAUGCCAUUUCCAUUGCUGUAAAGGCUGCUCUCUUCAAUACAAGCAUACCAAGGGUUCGAGUUCUGGAGGAUGAAGAGGGGUCGAAGGACAUUGAAUUGUCUGAUGACCCUUAUGACUGCAUACGACUAAGUGUGGAGAAUGUCCCCUGCAUUGUCACUCUGUGCAAGAUUGGCUAUCGGCAUGUGGUGGAUGCUACUCUUCAGGAGGAGGCCUGCUCGCUGGCCAGCUUGCUGGUGUCGGUGACCAGCAAGGGAGUUGUGACGUGCAUGAGGAAAGUGGGGAAGGGCAGCCUGGACCCAGAGAGCAUCUUCGAGAUGAUGGAGGACCUCUCGUGUCUGCUGUGUAGGGACUGAUUAUUUUGUGGGUUGUCCCUCUUGAUGUGUUUUGAUUCCAACAUUUCACUGCCUUUAACAUCUCAGCAUGGCAGUAACACCAAAGAUCCCAUCCAGACUGGCAAGCGUGUGGGCAAAGUGCUGCAUGCCUCCUUGCAGAGUGUUUUGCACAAGGAAGAAAGCCUGGGACCCAAGAGACAGAAAGUUGGAUUCCUGGGAUGAUUUGCACAUCAACUGCUCAACUGUGGAUUGUUUUUUACUUUUCCUUUUAAACUGGUUUGUAUAUAGUUUUCUUCGCUGUUAUGAAUUUACAGCAACAUUUGUAUGUGAAAAAUUAAAGGCUAUUUUCUGGUCUGG